rnacentral:rRNA from 3 species
GUGCCUUCGGGAACUGUGAGACAGGUGCUGCAUGGCUGUCGUCAGCUCGUGUUGUGAAAUGUUGGGUUAAGUCCCGCAACGAGCGCAACCCUUAUCCUUUGUUGCCAGCGAUUAGGUCGGGAACUCAAAGGAGACUGCCAGUGAUAAACUGGAGGAAGGUGGGGAUGACGUCAAGUCAUCAUGGCCCUUACGACCAGGGCUACACACGUGCUACAAUGGCGCAUACAAAGAGAAGCGACCUCGCGAGAGCAAGCGGACCUCAUAAAGUGCGUCGUAGUCCGGAUUGGAGUCUGCAACUCGACUCCAUGAAGUCGGAAUCGCUAGUAAUCGUGGAUCAGAAUGCCACGGUGAAUACGUUCCCGGGCCUUGUACACACCGCCCGUCACACCAUGGGAGUGGGUUGCAAAAGAAGUAGGUAGCUUAACCUUCGGGAGGGCGCUUACCACUUUGUGAUUCAUGACUGGGGUGAAGUCGUAACAAGGUAACCGUAGGGGAACCUGCGGUUGGAUCACCUCCUUACCUUAAAGAAGC